rnacentral:rRNA from 1 species
AUUGAACGCUGGCGGCAUGCCUUACACAUGCAAGUCGAACGGUAACAGGUCUUCGGAUGCUGACGAGUGGCGAACGGGUGAGUAAUACAUCGGAACGUGCCUAGUAGUGGGGGAUAACUACUCGAAAGAGUGGCUAAUACCGCAUGAGAUCUAAGGAGGAAAGCAGGGGAACGUAAGACCUUUUGCUACUAGAGAGGCCGAUGGCAGAUUAGGUAGUUGGUGGGAUAAAAGCUUACCAAGCCGACGAUCUGUGGCUGGUCUGAGAGGAAGAUCAGCCACACUGGGACUGAGAAACGGCCCAGACUCCUACGGGAGGCAGCAGUGGGGAAUUUUGGACAAUGGGCGCAAGCCUGAUCCAGCAAUGCCGCGUGCAGGAUGAAGGCCUUCGGGUUGUAAACUGCUUUUGUACGGAACGAAAAGCCCCGGGUUAAUACCCUGGGGUCAUGACGGUACCGUAAGAAUAAGCACCGGCUAACUACGUGCCAGCCGCCGCGGUAA